CACCGCGGUUAGACGAGAGGCCCUAGUUGACCAAACAGCGGCGUAAAGGGUGGUUAAGGAUAUAUCAAAAUAAAGCCAAAUGGCCCUUUGGCCGUCAUACGCUUCUAGGUGUCCGAAGCCCUAACACGAAAGUAGCUUUAAUAACCCACCUGACCCCACGAAAGCUGAGAAA
rnacentral:rRNA from 1 species